GAUGAACGCUGGCGGCGUGCCUAAUACAUGCAAGUCGAGCGAAUGGAUUAAGAGCUUGCUCUUAUGAAGUUAGCGGCGGACGGGUGAGUAACACGUGGGUAACCUGCCCAUAAGACUGGGAUAACUCCGGGAAACCGGGGCUAAUACCGGAUAACAUUUUGAACCGCAUGGUUCGAAAUUGAAAGGCGGCUUCGGCUGUCACUUAUGGAUGGACCCGCGUCGCAUUAGCUAGUUGGUGAGGUAACGUCUCACCAAGGCAACGAUGCGUAGCCGACCUGAGAGGGUGAUCGGCCACACUGGGACUGAAACACGGCCCAGACUCCUACGGGAGGCAGCAGUAGGGAAUCUUCCGCAAUGGACGAAAGUCUGACGGAGCAACGCCGCGUGAGUGAUGAAGGCUUUCGGGUCGUAAAACUCUGUUGUUAGGGAAGAACAAGUGCUAGUUGAAUAAGCUGGCACCUUGGCGGUACCUAACCAGAAAGCCACGGCUAACUACGUGCCAGCAGCCGCCGUAA
rnacentral:rRNA from 1 species